GCUUCCCCACUGGUCCCUUAGCAAGCUCUGGCUGGGAGAGCUUUCUCUGCCCCUCUUCAACCUCCAGUCACCAGCGCUCAGCGGUCCCGGCGCAUCCUCUCCAACAAAGCCGGGGCCCGGAGGCGACCCGGCGAGGGACCGAGACUGUCAGCUGAAACAUUCGAGCCCUGGCAAGCACCUACGCCCCGGAGAGCGCAGCAAGAAGGGGCAGCGGGGACCAGGAGAGGAGAGAGGGGAAGAAAGUGUCCUGCUCCGGGCGCGAAACCCUCCUGGGCUGAUCCUCCUCCCCCAGCUGCCCCUGCCCGAGCGCAUCCUGCCUUCCCUGUGGGACUGGGCAGGGCGGAGGGCGAAGCGGUGCGGACUGUGUGGCCUGACGGACCAGCCGCUCCCUUACCUCUGUCCAGAGUAAGCGGCUGGACCACUGUCAAUGUCGCCAUGUCUGCCGUGGGAGCCGAAGUGACGCUCGGCUUCAGCAUCAGCAACCGCUUGUGAGGAAACGCCACUAGCCGUGGGAGAUGUUGCUAUAUCAUUGUAGUUGCUGUUAAUUUCUGUUGAAGCUUUUUGUUUAGAACGUCCACUCUCAACAGCACAAGGUAGAUAAUGUGAAAGGCCUUAUUUCUGAGUCAGUAGAUCACAGUUCAGUUCCUGGAGCCUUCAAAUACUGACUAUGAGCCUUAAUCCCAACUUUCACUAAAUGUUCACCAAGCCUCAUUUCCUUAUCAAACCAUGAAGAAACAUGGAGAAAGAUCCUCUGGGCUUUACCGAGAUUGGUGGACACAGAGCUGAGAUGGCGAUGCUGCCCUCCCUGUGACAGCUAAAUCAUCCUUGUGACCCAGAGACCCUCAGAGGUAGACCCACUGGGUUGCAGAGUAUUUGCGUAUGACCAAAUGCUACGUUCUUCUAAUGAGACUAAGAGACCUUGAUAUGUGACAAGCAGUGAACAAGGAGUAGGAUCCUGGGCAGGAAGUUCUCUAAGUGCCACAGAAAGAAAGCAUUGCAAGCGAGGUCAUCAUCAGUAGACACACACCCUAAAGGAGGCCAGAGGAAGAAGAAACCCAACUGUUUGUCUUGAUAGUAGAAUGUGUUUCAAGGCUUUACACAAAAUAUCAAAGUUAAUCCAGUAACCGAGGAUGGAAA
rnacentral:lncRNA from 1 species